AUGGAAACACCUUCUGUGCCCAGCACAGAUCCCAAGGUCCCCCCAAACCCUCCCUGCCCCGAUUCUGCCCAGAUUUGCUCUUUGCACACACGAGUCACAGGCUGAAGUCAGGAGCUGCCUCCAUGCCCAGAGGGAGGAAAAGAGGGAAAGUGGAUGAAGAGCUCUCCUGUGCAGAGCCAAGGUCCAAGUGCCCCUGCAGUGGGAACCACAACUCAUCAGCAUCUGACAUGUCCCCCAUGCCCAAGGGAUUUCUGCACAGGAACAGCUUUGGACAAAGACAUAAAAGGUAACUCUGGGAUAGAUAUAAAUCUAAGUAAGGUGUUGAAUAAUUAUAUAUGUAUUUCAACUUCUGAAAGAUUGGGCUACUACAUAAAGCUCAAAGCAUGUUUUAGACAGAGACAUAAGAAAGUGAAAUUCUGUGAUAUAAAUAUUAGUAAGGUGUUGACAAAUGUGAUAUUUAUUUGAACUUUGGAAAGAUUGGACAACUUCCUUAAGCUAAAAGCAUGAAACCAAUCAGUUGAGAGUCACUUGAAUGACCAGACAGCACCUAGAGGAGGAAAUCUGGGAGCAACAGGAAGGACAUUGAUCCAGCUGGUCUAGUGAACAGAUGUCUUUAGACAUGGCCAUUUUAACAGGAGAGCUGGAAACACCUGAAGGAAGAGGGAGAGGAAAUAAUAAACAGGAUAUUGGUGACACACGUAGAAGGCAAGGCAGACAUCAGCUGUGUGCCCAUGAACAGGCAGUGCCACUUGUGCCCUGAGGUGCCGAGCUGGGGUUGGAUCUCUCAGAGAGGAGCUGAGGGAGAGCAGAGCACCUUGCAAGCUGCAGGUCCCUGCCAGCCCCGCAGGGCUCCUGUGCCAUCAACAUCUGCCCUGCUCCA